rfam:Phoenicopterus ruber ruber contig28639, whole genome shotgun sequence.
CCAAAGGCUCUUUUCAGAGCCACCCACUAGGUCACUUAAAGAGCUA